rnacentral:rRNA from 1 species
GAUGAACGCUGGCGGCGUGCUUAACACAUGCAAGUCGAACGAAGCAUUUAGGACAGAUUGCUUCGGCUGGAAGUUCUUUAUGACUGAGUGGCGGACGGAUGAGUAACGCGUUGUUAACCUGCCUUGUACUGGGGGAUAGCAGCUGGAAACGGCUGGUAAUACCGCAUAAGCGCACAAUGUUGCAUGACCUUGUGGCAAAAACUCCGGUGGUAUAAGAUGGACCGGCGUCUGGUUAGCUAGUUGGUGAGAGGACAGCCCACCAAGGCGACGAUCAGCAGACGACAAGAGAGGGAGACCGGCGACAUUGAGACUGAGACACGGCGCAGACUAUUACGCGAAGCAGCAAUGCCGAAUAUUGCAAAAUGGCGUAAAUUCUGAAGCCGUGAGGGUGGGUGAGUGAAGAAGUAAUUCGUUAAGUACAGCUCGAUAAGAAGGGGAGAUAGUGACGGUACCUAAAUAAGAAGCUCCGGCUAAAUACGUG